UCUGCUUGUAGUGGAAAAUUUCUUAUUUAUUUAUGGAAAUGUCAGUGCCUUUAGUAGUGGGAGCGAAAAGGGGAGGUUUAAAUGAAGAGUACCGUGAGGGAAUUUUGUAUCUUUUAGUGGUUUAAUAUAAAAAAUAGUUUAAAGUACGGGUUAAGCCCGGUACCUUUUGCAUUAUGGUUAAAUGAAAGUUUAACAAAUGAGUUAACCCGAAGUAGUGCGACUUACCUUAGAGAGGAAGGAUGGCGUUGUAAAGCCAUGGACUUACUUUAAGGUAGGGGCGAGAUACCUUUUCGCGCACUAUGAUAGCUGGUUCUCCUGGAAAGGCGCCUUAGUGCUCAGCUCAUAGUUUUGUUCUUAGGGUAUGUAGGACUUCGAGAUGUUAUGAGUUGUUGGAACAAAGGGGCUAAGCUCUUUGUUCGGGCUAUGGUUAAAAUGGGGCGGUAUUCUUAGUAGGCUAUUUAGUUGCCACCUUGCAAAUCUUGUUAUAAAGAACAGCCAACCUAAUUAAAAUUUAUAGUGAUUGACCUUGUUGUAGACGGGAGCUGUAACUGCUAAUUUAUUUAUGCAGGCAUGAGAAUUUUUAAAUUAGUAGUCAAUCUAAGAUUUUUAUGGGGACAACUGUUCAGGAUAGUUCUCUAUAUUAUAAUAAGUCUUAGUUAGUAAGUGUUGCUAAGGAACUCGGCAAACUGAGCUAUCACGCCUGUUUCCCAAAAACAUGGCCCUCCGCGCAAAAGUAAUCACGGGAGGUCAUACCUGCACAAUGGCCUACGGGCUCAAUUGCCGCGGUAACCUGACCGUGCAAAGGUAGCGUAAUCAAUAGCCUAUUAAUUGUUGGCCUGUAUGAAUGGUCUUACGCUGGUGGCGCUGUCUCAAUAGCAUUAAUUUGAAUUUAACUUUUGGGUGAAAAGGCCCAGAUAAACCUAAAAGACGAUUAGACCCUAUCGAACUUUAGGUAGAUUCUCUACCGGGGCCUUGGUUAACAAGAAGCGCCUGAAUAGGGUAAAAACCUUUGGUUGGGGUAACCGGGGACUAAGAAAAACGCCCCCCCCCUUUUUUCGUAUGUAAACACCCGUUAUGAUAAGGGUAAUAGAGAUUUUACCCCCAGGGCAAUUGGCCAAAAGGAAAGUAAUUUUUUAGGAAGUUAUAUAGGAAUGACAAUUCAUGUGUUACUUGUAAAAUGAACCUAAAGACCCACAACUUGUGGGAAGCUGUUAAUAGGGAAGAGUUACCGUAGGGAUAACAGCGUAAUCUUCCCGGCGAGACCACAUUAAGGGGAAGGUUUGCGACCUCGAUGUUGGCUUAGGGCCUCCUAGAAGUGCAGGGGCUUCUAAGGGUUGGUCUGUUCGACCAUUAAAGCCCUACGUGAGCUGAGUUCAGAUCGGCGUAAGCUAGGUCGGUUUCUAUCUUUAGGAUAAAAAGCUAAGAGAUUGUACGAAAGGACUUUUCUUAGGGAAAAAUUCCGCUGUAAGUGAGUUAGUCUAACUAAUUUAACUUUAAAUUACCUAGGAAUGAGUUCAACUGAGAAAAACUUUC
rnacentral:rRNA from 1 species